GGUCAAUAUGACAGGGAUUCUGAACGUCCUGCCUGUUGAGCAAGCAGAUAGGUAGAAUGAACCCAUGAAUGGUUAGUUUCUCACUACUCAUGGCAUUUGCCCAAAGGAGGAUGGUGGAAUCCAAGGCCAGUAUUGGAGUAAUUAGUAUGCAUCGUGGAACCAGAUUUCCAAGGUUGCCAUCUGGCUGUACCACUUACUACCUGUGGGACCUCAGUUUCUUCAAUGGCGAACUGAUAAACACUGGGAUCAGAAUGGUGUCCAGCUGUGUGGCCACGAGGAGAACUAAACAAACGGACAGUAAGAGUCCGUCUCCCUCUUACCAUCUUCCGCUUUGUCCGCCGCACCCAGCAUUGUGCCUCUCACCAUUAGGUCUUUAGUAAAUGUUUGCUGAGUUGGAAACAUAAAUAAAAAUAUUCCCCG
rnacentral:lncRNA from 1 species